CCUGGCGGCUGUAGAGGAGUGGAACUACCUGAUCCCAUCCCGAACUCAGAAGUAAAACGCUCCAUCGCCUAAGAUACUUUGAUCGCGAGGUCAUGGGAAAAUAGGUCGUCGCCAGGA
rnacentral:rRNA from 1 species